rnacentral:rRNA from 1 species
UGGGGGAUAUUGCACAAUGGGCGAAAGCCUGAUGCAGCGACGCCGCGUGGGGGAUGAAGGCUUUCGGGUUGUAAACCUCUUUCGCUAUCGAACAAGGCCCGCUUAGGGUGGGUUGAGGGUAGGUGGAGAAGAAGCGCCGGCUAACUACGUGCCAGCAGCCGCGGUAAUACGUAGGGCGCGAGCGUUGUCCGGAAUUAUUGGGCGUAAAGGGCUUGUAGGCGGCUUGUUGCGCCUGCUGUGAAAACGCGGGGCUUAACUUCGCGCGUGCAGUGGGUACAGGCAGGGUUGAGUGUGGUAGGGGUGACUGGAAUUCCAGGUGUAGCGGUGGAAUGCGCAGAUAUCUGGAGGAACACCGAUGGCGAAGGCAGGGCACUGGGCCAUUACUGACGCUGAGGAGCGAAAGAAUGGGUAGCGAACAGG